GGCCUCUGGUUAUUCCAUUCCUGAUGGUGGCUUUCUGUUCUUUUAUUUUCCUGAUCAGAAAAGGAUUUUACACAAGGAAUAAGAAUCAUUCACCAGGAUGACAGAAAAUAUCAGAACUCAUCAGUGUCUCACAGCAAAGAGCUCAGACUACGAACAUCUGACAUACAGAAACAAACAGCGAGUCCCAGCCGUCACCGUGACAACAUAAAUACCAGUAACUGUGACUCCUUUAACCAGUUUUAUGUUGUUUCAGGUUUGUUCAUUAGACCACUGCUCUUUGCCAUGAUUUAUCCUUUUGGGAUGUUUUUGUCCUAACAAUAGGCAAAAGCAUGAAUGAAUUCUUAUUAGUUUUGUACCCAAACUAAAAUAACAUGUAUCCUGUAAAACAAUGAUUUCUAUUUAAGUUGAUGGUGAAACUAAAUUCUCUGUUUCCAAAAUUUACCCUGAAACUGUAACUCCUGAGUUAGGGUACCGCUUUUCCUCCCUGCAGUUUAGGAAUAAUGUUGAACAAAAUAUUUUAACAAAAUCUGUUCUCUGUUAAAAUUCAACCUAAGGGUAAAAUCAACAAACACAAACGUGAUGAUGAAUACCUGACAGAGCCGGUGGCUUAAUUUCAGUGCUCACUUGUUUGGUAAACUACGGUAAUUUAUAAGUCUAGAAGUACUGUGAAAACUCAGCUGAAACCAAAGCAAACAGCAGCUUAUUGGUGUGAUUUUAAGAUGAGCUGUUUGGUAGCAAGAAAAUGAAGGAAAACACCAAGUUGCCUCUAAAACACUAAAAGAUAUUGCACUUUUUUAAUCUAUACUGACUGAAAGUAUCAGCGUCAGGAAGAAGUAGAACUAGAUCAUAAUCAAAGGGGGAAUGUAAGGCUAGUGGUGAGAGCAGACAGGCAACAAGUUCCCCGGUUCAAAUCCCACAGGCUGCCACUGUGAUCCCUGAGCAAAACCCUCACCACACAUACACACACACACACACUUUCUGAGGACGGGUUAGAUGAAGAGGACCCAUUUUAAUGAAGUGUCUGUUGCAAUGAUCAUUAUUAACUAUUUCUCUGCCAUAAAAGAUUGUACAGUUUGUAUGCUUAAAUUGUGUAGCAUUUACACUUUGUUAUCCCUGUUGCUAUUCUCACUUGGCACUUUUUUGCACUGCAUUACAUUGUUGUAGACAAGAAAAAAAAGAUGUAUGUUCAACUGCUUAUUUGUAUUUUGCAUUAAUGUGUGAAGUACUAACAGCUUCAGUCUGAACCCUGUGAUCAGUAUUGCUGAUUCAUAUAAUAAAUUGAGCAUCUUCUCAAAUAUUAAUUUUUUUGUAUUUAUCUAUAAUUCCUUCAUGUUUCAUUUCACCACAUAUUUGCUUUAUUUCUCUGACAUUAAAUUGUAAUAAACCAAGCCUUUUAAAAAGA